ensembl:processed_transcript Gm12339 predicted gene 12339
AUGUAGUCACCCCAGCCGCAGCCACAGCCCUCAGCAAAUUCACGGGACAGGCCGAAUGGGGCCGGGACACACGUCGAUGGCCAUAUGCUCCUGGAUGCUGAUGGUCGCCUUCUCCCCGCGCCGCCGGAGGGUCAUGCAGGCAGCGCCGCGGCGCGCGGCCCGGGGGCAAGUCAGCGGGUCCCGCGGGGCGCUGCGGGGGCUGCGGUCAUCGCCAGCGUGGCCCCCGGACGGCCCUGACGCGGCUGCUGCCUGCUCGGCGGCGGCCGGUGCGAGUGAGUGCGGGGCCGGCAGCAGGGGGCGGGCCCAGCCCGCGUCACCCGGCAGCAACCAAGCGGGAAGGACACCUGCCCCCAUUUUGGGGGAAUGGAAAUGGCUCAAAUGUGCUGAGCAUGUCUGAGGGAACUCUACCAUUGAUGGUCGUUUGUACCAGGGCUGCACCAGCUAGGGUGGAUGCUGAGGAGCUAGCUGAAGCCACGUACCCUCCAGGACCUCUGCGGGAGCCAGCUGUAUGUGGUUUGGCCCUAAAUGUUCACGAGGGAUCUCAGGAGGCUCUGGUGGGUACAGAGAGCCGAAGGCUCACUGAAGCCGAGACUCCAUCUCUGUAGUUAUGCACACAUGCUUUGGGAUCACCUCUGCUUGGACUACCAGGUUGCUUGCUGUCUGAGAUGCUUCUGUGCUUCUGGAUUUUGACGGACAUUGUAG